CGGACGGGUGAGUAACACGUGGAUAACCUACCUAUAAGACUGGGAUAACUUCGGGAAACCGGAGCUAAUACCGGAUAAUAUAUUGAACCGCAUGGUUCAAUAGUGAAAGACGGUUUUGCUGUCACUUAUAGAUGGAUCCGCGCCGCAUUAGCUAGUUGGUAAGGUAACGGCUUACCAAGGCAGCGAUGCGUAGCCGACCUGAGAGGGUGAUCGGCCACACUGGAACUGAGACACGGUCCAG
rnacentral:rRNA from 1 species